UACGAAGGGGGCUAGCGUUGCUCGGAAUCACUGGGCGUAAAGCGCACGUAGGCGGCUUCUUAAGUCAGGGGUGAAAUCCUGGAGCUCAACUCCAGAACUGCCUUUGAUACUGGAGAGCUUGAGUCCGGAAGAGGUGAGUGGAACUCCGAGUGUAGAGGUGAAAUUCGUAGAUAUUCGGAAGAACACCCGUGGCGAAGGCGGCUCUCUGGGACGGUACUGACGCUGAGACGCGAAAGCGUGGGGAGCGAACAGG
rnacentral:rRNA from 1 species